UAGUCUACAUGGAGAAUUCUAGGGCUA
rnacentral:piRNA from 1 species